UAAAUAUAUACCAAUUAACAAAAGAAGAUUCAGAAUGAAACAUACUAUUAUAUAGCAGCAGCUAAACUUAUAACAGCCUUAAACCAGCACUUCAGCAGUUGUUAGCAGUAGCUAAAGCAGCAGCAGGGCAGCAGAUUACCUGAUCCUUUGCAGAGAGCUGGGCGUUGAGGGGUUUGAAGAUCACCUUCAAUAUUUAUCAAAUAUACGAUUCAAUUCCACUCCGUUCAGUAGAAUUGUACGAAACGAAACUUACCUUGACGAGAAGGAAGCUCCAAGAAACCUAGAGAGACCACGCUAAGUGUAUCUCUGGUUGUUGAUUUUUCUCUAACUGGAAAUAGAAGAGAAGCACGCUGAGUGUAUCUCUGUUUACGGAGGGGUGAGGAAAG